rnacentral:rRNA from 1 species
UACGUAGGUGGCGAGCGUUAUCCGGAAUGAUUGGGCGUAAAGGGAACGCAGGCGGUCUUUUAAGUCUGAUGUGAAAGCCUUCGGCUUAACCGGAGUAGUGCAUUGGAAACUGGGAGACUUGAGUGCAGAAGAGGAGAGUAGAACUCCAUGUGUAGCGGUGAAAUGCGUAGAUAUAUGGAAGAACACCAGUGGCGAAAGCGGCUCUCUGGUCUGUAACUGACGCUGAGGUUCGAAAGCGUGGGUAGCAAACAGG